UACGUAGGGGGCGAGCGUUGUUCGGAUUUACUGGGCGUAAAGAGCGCGUAGGCGGUUCGAUCAGUCGGAGGUGAAAGCCCUCGGCUCAACCGAGGAUCCGCGUCCGAUACUGUCGAACUUGAGUGCAGGAGAGGAGAGCGGAAUUCCCAGUGUAGCGGUGAAAUGCGUAGAUACUGGGAGGAACACCGGUGGCGAAGGCGGCUCUCUGGACUGCUACUGACGCUGAGGCGCGAAAGCUAGGGGAGCAAACGGG
rnacentral:rRNA from 1 species